rnacentral:pre_miRNA from 1 species
AGGAGCAACAGCCCUAGUGGCGGGGCCAGCUCUGCAGCCCUGGAUUCAGCUCCGGCAGGAACUCCGGAGGUCUCCGUCUGCAGGGCCUGGAGGCUCCGGGGCGGG